AACGAACGCUGGCGGCAUGCCUAACACAUGCAAGUCGAACGAGACCUUCGGGUCUAGUGGCGCACGGGUGCGUAACGCGUGGGAAUCUGCCCUUGGGUUCGGAAUAACAGUUAGAAAUGACUGCUAAUACCGGAUGAUGACUUCGGUCCAAAGAUUUAUCGCCCAAGGAUGAGCCCGCGUAGGAUUAGCUAGUUGGUAGGGUACAGGCCUACCAAGGCGACGAUCCUUAGCUGGUCUGAGAGGAUGAUCAGCCACACUGGGACUGAGACACGGCCCAGACUCCUACGGGAGGCAGCAGUGGGGAAUAUUGGAAAAUGGGCGAAAGCCUGAUCCAGCAAUGCCGCGUGAGUGAUGAAGGCCCUAGGGUUGUAAAGCUCUUUUACCCGGGAUGUUAAUGACAGUACCGGGAGAAUAAGCCCCGGCUAACUCCGUGCCAGCAGCCGCCGUAACAC
rnacentral:rRNA from 1 species